GGGGCCGUGGCUCAACGGUAAAGCGCUCCCCCUCCAGAGUCUCAGUCCCCGGACACACUGAAGGUAAGUAUCCAGAGACCCUGCCGGGGGAGAGAUGGCGUGUUCGAUUCACCCCAGCUCCA